GCAAACUUGGUCAUUUAGAGGAAGUAAAAGUCGUAACAAGGUCUCCGUUGGUGAACCAGCGGAGGGAUCAUUACCGAGUUUAUUCAACUCCUUAACCCCUGUGAACAUACCUAUCGUUGCUUCGGCGGGACCGCCCCGGCGCCAUCGCGGCCCGGACCCAGGCGCCCGCCGGGGAAUCAAAAACUUUGAAUUAGUGAGUGGAUCUUCUGAGUAAACAAGCAAAUAAAUUAAAACUUUCAACAACGGAUCUCUUGGUUCUGGCAUCGAUGAAGAACGCAGC
rnacentral:misc_RNA from 1 species